rnacentral:misc_RNA from 1 species
GCUUAUCUUAGCCACAUGGUUGGGAUGGGAUAUCCUAAGAAGAAGCAUGUCAUUGUUGAGGCUGUUUUUUCUACAUGAACGAGGCAGUUUAACUUGUUAUUUUGGAUUUGUAAUGUAUCCCAACAAGGAAAUUUUCAGUUAUGUUUAUUUUUAUCCAUUCAAAGAUCCAUAGUGCCUGACCUUUUUAAUUGACGAGUGAAGGGUUGUAAUUGUAC